rnacentral:rRNA from 1 species
AUUCCGGUAGACGAUGGGGAUGCGUUCCAUUAGAUAGUAGGCGGGGUAACGGCCCACCUAGUCUUCGAUGGAUAGGGGUUCUGAGAGGAAGGUCCCCCACAUUGGAACUGAGACACGGUCCAAACUCCUACGGGAGGCAGCAGUGAGGAAUAUUGGUCAAUGGGCGAGAGCCUGAACCAGCCAAGUAGCGUGAAGGAUGACUGCCCUAUGGGUUGUAAACUUCUUUUAUAAAGGAAUAAAGUCGGGUAUGCAUACCCGUUUGCAUGUACUUUAUGAAUAAGGAUCGGCUAACUCCGUGCCAGCAGCCGCGGUAAUACGGAGGAUCCGAGCGUUAUCCGGAUUUAUUGGGUUUAAAGGGAGCGUAGAUGGAUGUUUAAGUCAGUUGUGAAAGUUUGCGGCUCAACCGUAAAAUUGCAGUUGAUACUGGAUAUCUUGAGUGCAGUUGAGGCAGGCGGAAUUCGUGGUGUAGCGGUGAAAUGCUUAGAUAUCACGAGGAACUCCGAUUGCGAAGGCAGCCUGCUAAGCUGCAACUGACAUUGAGGCUCGAAAGUGUGGGUAUCAAACAGGAUUAGAUACCCUGGUAGUCCACACGGUAAACGAUGAAUACUCGCUGUUUGCGAUAUACUGCAAGCGGCCAAGCGAAAGCGUUAAGUAUUCCACCUGGGGAGUA